AAAACACAACUACACUUUUACUCACCUGUUGUUGCAAAAGAGAACACGGAAGAAAUCAAUUAAACACACACACCAUGGCAAAGAGGGUUAGCUUCUCAGGAGCUGGUAAAAAAGCUGAUCCAAACAAGCUGAAUGAUGAUCAGGGAGAUCGGUACUUCAGACUUUUAUGGGCUUCACUGGGCAAAGAGAAAGCCAAAACAUGUUUAUAUGUUGAUCCACUGGCAACAAAAUCUUAUUAUUACAAUAAGAAAGGUAGAGAGAAAAUAUAUAGUCGCCUAAUGAAGGACAAAUUCUUCCACAUGAAAUAUGUUUUUUUCCCAUUAUGU